rnacentral:rRNA from 1 species
AAACAUGUCCUUUUGUUUAAAUAUAAGGUCUGACCUGCCCAAUGAUUUUAUUUAAUGGCCGCGGUAUAUUAACUGUGCUAAGGUAGCAUAAUCAUUUGUCUUUUAAUUAAAGGCUAGAAUGAAUGGUUGGACGAAAUAUAAUCUUUCUUUAAUUUAAUUUAUGAAUUUUAUUUUUUAGUUAAAAAGCUAAAAUAUAUUUGAGGGACGAGAAGACCCUAUAGAGCUUUAUAUUAAGCCUUAUUUUUAAUAUUAGUAUAUAAAUUAUUAAAAAUAAGUAAUAUAUUUAGUUGGGGUGACUGUAGAAUUUAUUUAACUUCUAUUUUUAUUUUUCAUUAAUUAAUGUAUAUUUGAUCCAAAGUUUAUUGAUUAAAAGAUUAAGUUACCUUAGGGAUAACAGCGUAAUUUUUUCGGAGAGCUCAAAUCGAUGAAAAAGUUUGCGACCUCGAUGUUGGAUUAAAAUUAGUUUUAGGUGUAGAAGUUUAAAAACUAGGUCUGUUCGACCUUUAAUUUUUUACAUGAUCUGA